GACGAACGCUGGCGGCGUGCCUAAUACAUGCAAGUCGAACGCAGUGGGGACGGGUGAGCAACACGCGGGUAACCUCCCAUCAGAGGGGAUAAAACUCGGGAACAGGUGCUAAACCGAUCCUGAUGGAUGGUCCCGCGGUGCAUUAGGUAGUUGGUGAGGUAACGGCUCACCAAGGCCACGCUGAAUAGACGGCCUGAGGGGGGGAUCGGCCACACUGGGACGGAAACACGGCCAAGGCUCCUACGGGAGGCAGCAGUAGGGAAUCUUCGACAAUGGACGAAAGUCUGAACGAGCAACGCCGCGAGAGUGAAGAAGGUUUUCGGAUCGUAAAACUCUGUUGUUAGAGAAGCGGUAUCUAACCAGAAAGCCACGGCUAACUACGUGCCAGCAGCCGCGGUAAUUC
rnacentral:rRNA from 1 species